rnacentral:rRNA from 1 species
GAUGAACGCUGGCGGCGUGCCUAAUACAUGCAAGUCGAGCGAACAGAUGAGGAUCUUGCUCCUCUGACGUUAGCGGCGGACGGGUGAGUCACACGUGGAUACCCUCCCUAUCAGACUGGGAUAACUUCGGGACACCGGAUCUAAUACCGGAUGAUAUAUUGAACCGCAUGGUUCAAUAGUGAAAGACGGUUUUGCUGUCACUUAUAGAUGCUUCCGCGCCGCAUUAGCUAGUUGGGAAGGUAACGGGUUACCAAGGCAAGCAUGGGUAGACGAACUGAGAGGGUGAUAGGCCACAUGGGAAGGGAGACAGGGUCAAGACGACUAAGGGAGGCAGCAGAAGGGAAUGGGCCGCAACGGGGGAAAGCAUGACGGAGUAACGCCGCGUGAGUGAUGAAGGUCUUCGGAUCGUAAAAAUCUGUUAUUAGGGAAGAACAAAUGUGGAAGUAAAUAUGGACGGAGUGACGGUACUUAAUCAGAAAGCAACGGCUAACUACGUG